UACGUAGGGGGCAAGCGUUGUCCGGAAUUAUUGGGCGUAAAGAGCUCGUAGGCGGUCUGUCGCGUCUGCUGUGAAAUCUCAGGGCUUAACCCUGAGCUUGCAGUGGGUACGGGCAGACUAGAGUGCGGUAGGGGAGACUGGAAUUCCUGGUGUAGCGGUGAAAUGCGCAGAUAUCAGGAGGAACACCGGUGGCGAAGGCGGGUCUCUGGGCCGUAACUGACGCUGAGGAGCGAAAGCAUGGGGAGCGAACAGG
rnacentral:rRNA from 1 species